rnacentral:rRNA from 1 species
AUUGAACGCUGGCGGCAGGCCUAACACAUGCAAGUCGAGCGAGCGGCGGACGGGUGAGUAAUGUAUGGGGACUGCCCGAUAGAGGGGGAUAACUACUGGAAACGGUGGCUAAUACCGCAUACUAUCGGAUAACCCAUAUGGGAUUAGCUAGUAGGUGGGGUAAAGGCUCACCUAGGCGACGAUCCCUAGCUGGUCUGAGAGGAUGUCCAGCCAAAGUGGAACGGAGACAAGGCCCAGACUCCUACGGAGGCAGCAGUGGGGAAUAUGGCACAAUGGGCGCAAGCCUGAUGCAGCCAUGCCGCGUGUAUGAAGAAGGCCUUAGGGUUGGAAAGUACUUUCAGCGGGGAGGCGUUACCCGCAGAAGAAGCACCGGCUAACUCCGUGCCAGCAGCCGCGGUAAUUC